AGCAGCCGCGGUAAUUCCAGCUCCAAUAGCGUAUAUUAAAGUUGUUGCAGUUAAAAAGCUCGUAGUUGAAUUUCGGGAUCAAUAUGUCGGUCGUGCCUUGGUACGUACUGGUAUCAUUGGUCUCUCCUUUCUGACGAACCAUGAUGUCAUUAAUUUGGUGUUAUGGGAAGUUAGGACUGUUACUUUGAAAAAUUAGAGUGUUUAAAGCAGGCUUUAGCUUGAAUACAUUAGCAUGGAAUAAUGAAAUAGGACGUUCGAACCUAUUUUGUUGGUUUCUAGGAUCAACGUAAUGAUUAAUAGGGAUAGUUGGGGGCAUUAGUAUUCAAUUGUCAGAGGUGAAAUUCUUGGAUUUAUUGAAGACUAAACUACUGCGAAAGCAUUUGCCAAGGAUGUUUUCAUUAAUCAAGAACGAAAGUUAGGGGAUCGAAGACGAUCAGAUACCGUCGUAGUCUUAACCAUAAACUAUGCCGACUAGGGAUCGGAUGAUGUUAAUUUUUAAUGUACUCAUUCGGCGUCCUUA
rnacentral:misc_RNA from 1 species